AUGCCAGCCUCAUUCCAGACACCCCCAAACCAGAAACAGCCCAGGAGCCCAUUAACAGAUUCAUGGGAAAAUGUAUUGCAGUCUAUUCCGUCACUGGACUCUUAUGCAGCAGUGAAGACAGGUAUCCCAUCACUGGACUCUUACGCAGCAGCGAAGACAAGUGUCCCAUCACUGGACUCUUACGCAGCAGCGAAGACAGGUGUCCCAUCACUGGACUCUUACGCAGCAGUGAAGACAGGUGUCCCAUCACUGGACUCUUACGCAGCAGUGAAGACAGGUGAAUUGCAAGCUAUUCCAUCACUGGACUCUUACGCAGCAGUGAAGACAGAUGUCCCAUCACUGGACUCUUACGCAGCAGUGAAGACAGGUGAAUUGCAAGCUAUUCUAUCACUGGACUCUUACACAGCAGUGAAGACAGAUAUCCCAUCACUGGACUCUUAUGCAGCAGUGAAGACCGGCGAAUUGCAGUUAUGCAUAGCACGGAUGCCUCUCUCAAACAAUCACGUUGAACAGAAGUGGCCAGGCUCGAUUCUGUGUGAUCCCGUGUGGAUCACAAACAGGCAACAUAAAGGAUGGUGUUUGGGGGUGGAUGUUGAGGGAGAGAAGGGGGUUCUCUUCAUCACAAUGGUCUCCAGGAAGGGAGGGACAGCGGCUGGGAGGCCAGGGGCCUCUGGGAUGCUGAAAAAAUUCUUUUUCUUCUUCUUCUUUUUUUUGAGAUGGAGACUCACUGUGUGGCCCAGGCUGGAGUGCAGUGGUGGGACCUCAGCUCAGUGCAACAUCUGCCUCCCGGUUCAGGUGAUUCUCCUGCCUCAGCCUCCCGAGUAGCUGGAAUUACAGGUGCCCGCCACCACGCCUGGCUAAUUUUUCGUAUUUUUAGUAGAGGCAGGGUUUUCCCAUGUUGGCCAGGCUGGUCUUGAACUCCUGACCUUAGGUGAUCUGCCCACCUUGGCCUCCCAAAGGGCUGGGAUGACAGGCAUAAGCCACUGCACCCAGCCCAGAAUGGUUAAUUUUAUGUUACGUGAAUUUCACUCAAUAAAAAAAAGACAGGAAAGGGAGAGAAAGAAAGAAAAGGGAGGGAACAGCAGGGGCCCAGGGGAGUCAGGGUGCCUGCCUGUGAGUGUCCCCGGCAGCCUACCUCUUCUCCCCACUUCCCCUACCUGGAGGCCCUGGAAGCACAGGGCUGUCCCCUGGAGAAGUCCGGAGUGACUUUUAAAACACAGAUAUGGGGACCCAUCUGAUUCUGAGUUUCUGGUCAACAGUGCUCUGUGUGGUUCAGAAGUUGCAUUGUCUCAGGACAGAAACAAAGUCCAGCUAAUACCUGUCAAGGCCCGGCCUCUUGCCAGGGCCUUGGCCCAACUUUCUCCUUCACUCCCCCCAAAGGCUCUGGGAAGCAGGGUACUUACUGAUGGUAAGAAAUGAAGCUCAGAGAGUUUCAGCACCAAACUCAGCAUCGUACCACCAGAGCACAGGAAGGCUCGGGACGCACAGCACCAGAGCAUGAGGGGACAGGGGUCUCACAGCACCGGAGCAUGGGAGGACGCGGGACUCACACCCUCAGAAAUGGGAGGAAACGGGACUCACGGCACCGGAGCACAGGAGGAUGCAGGACUCACAGCCCCGGAGCACGGGGGGACAUGGGACUCACACCCCUGGAAUAUGGGGGGACGUGGGACUCACACCCCCGAAGCAUGGGGGACGGGGGACUCACAGCACGUCUUUAACUCCCAAUCCCAGCUACUUGGGAGGCUGAGGCAGGAGAAUUGUUUGAACCCGGGAGGCAGAGGUUGCAGUGAGCCGAGAUCGUUCCCCUGCCCUCCAGCCUGCGGCACAGAGCGAGACUCUUCGAUCAUUUCCCUUUACUCCACGGCUACUUUGGUUUUUCUUUUUGAGAUGGAGGGCUGGAGUGCAGUGGUACAAUCUCCGCUCACUUCAACCUCCGCCUUUUUUUGUAUUUUUAGUAGAGAGAGGCCUAGAAGGCUCAGCUGCAGCCACCUGCCCCGCAGGGAAUUCCUGGCCCAGAAAGGGUAAAAUCAGACUCUCAACUCAUUCAGCAGAGUGGCUUGUCCCAGGUCUGCUGUAACAAGUGACCACCAAUGGGCAGCUUAAAGCAACAGAAGCUGGCUGGGCCCAGUGGCUACACCUGCAAUCCCAGCGCUUGGGAGGCCGAGGUGGGAGGAUCGCUUGAAGCCAGGAGUUCAAGUCCCGGCUGGGCAGCAUAGUGAUACCCCCAUCUCUAAAAAAAGAUGGUACACACCUGUAGUUCCAGCUACUCUGGAGGCUGAGGCGGCAGGCUUGCUUCAGUCCAGGAAGUCAAGGCUAUAGUGAGCCGUGAUUGCGCCACUGCACUCCAACCUGGGCAAGAGAGUGACAGCUUGUCUCAAACAACAAUAAUGACAACAAAAACACCCAGAAACAUAUCACCUCACAGUUCCGUAGGCCAGAUGUCUGAUAGCAGAGUCACCAAGUGGAAGUCAAGGCGUGGGCAGGGCCGCAGGCUGCAGGGGAGGCUCCCACUGCCUCUUCCAGCUUCCCAGGCCCCAGGCCUCUGUGGUCCCACGCCUCUCCUCUUCCGUCUGUGUCCAAUCUCCCUCUGCCUCCCUCUUAGGAGAACUCAUGGUCACGUCGGGUCUGUCCAGAUGCUCCUUUUCUCUCCAUCUUUAAUUCAAUCAUGUCUGCAAAGACCUUUCACACGCAGUCACGUUCACAGGGUUAGGGUUAGGGACGUGGAUGUCUUUUAGGGGCCAUUUUCAGUGGCCACGGCAAGUGUGAGUGAGGGGACCAGGCCCUGGUUUCUGAGCCCCUGUGGUGUGCUCAGUCCCUAUGAGGUUAUACGUGAGGUAAGAAUAGUGGACCCCAGCGUGGAACCUGUUUCCGUGUCUCUUUUUCUCCCUCUAAGGCAGCACAGGCAGCUCAGCUGUGCCUUCCCAAGCAGGUGAGGCUGGCUGAGCCCUCUGGGUUUCUCCAUCCUUGCCUGUAAGUAGGGCUGAAAAAUAGCUUUUUCGCCCAGGUGCUAGGAAACGAGAUGCUGUGUAUAAAGUGACUGGCGGCUGCCUGGCCUGGUGGUAAAGCUCCUGGAAAUGGGUGACUGCAUGAGUCCAGGCUCACACUGCUCUAAAGAACUACUGGAGAAUGGGUCAUUUAUGAAGAAAGAGGUUUAAUUGGCUCACAGUUCCACAGGCUGUGUAGGAAGCGUGGCUGGGAGUCCUCAGGAAACUCACGAUCAUGGUGGAAGGGGAAGGGGAAGCAGGCACGCCUUCACAUGGCAGCCGGAGAGAGAGCGAGCGAGCACGAGGCCGGAGGCGCCAUGUACUUUAAAACCAUCAGAUCUCGCGAGAACUCACUGUUGUGAGAACAGCAAGGCGGAAACCGCCCUGAGAUCAGUCACCUCCCACCAGGCCCCUCCCCCAACCGUGGGAAUGACAAUUCAACACGAGAUGGGGGCGACACAGACCCGACCGUGGGACUGACAAUUCAACACGAGAUGGGGCGACACAGACCCGACCGUGGGAAUGACAAUUCAACACGAGGUGGGGCGACACAGACCCGACCGUGGGAAUGACAAUGCAACACGAGGUGGGGGCGACACAGACCCGACCGUGGGAAUGACAAUUCAACACGAGAUGGGGCGACACAGACCCGACCGUGGGACUGACAAUUCAACACGAGGUGGGGCGACACAGACCCGACCGUGGGAAUGACAAUGCAACACGAGGUGGGGGCGACACAGACCCGACCGUGGGAAUGACAAUUCAACACGAGAUGGGGCGACACAGACCCGACCGUGGGACUGACAAUUCAACACGAGGUGGGGGCGACACAGACCCAGACCACAUCAGUGGCUUUCAGGAGAUGUGAGUAGCAAUGCAGGCGCGGCCCCCUUGGGAGAAAGUGUCUGUGGGAAGCGCUCCGUGAACUCUGCGGUACUCACCAUGGGCUGGGCGCGUUUUCAGCGGGGGCGGCAGGACCUUGGGGAUGGGGCCACACUCUGGGGAAGCCUGUGUGGGGGAGUGAGCCCCGCUCUGUCUGGGCAUAGGCAGCCCCAGCACCGCGGAGGGUGUUCCUUAGGUCCGGACGCGGGCACAGUCAGGCGUGAAUUCUGGGCCCUGAGCUGGGGCCAUCAUCUCCUUCCCUCUGACAGCGAGCACAGGGGCCAUGGCGGGUGCCGCUAGAGUGCUGUGCUGUGCCGCGUGCCCUCAGAGCUUGGGGACCUUCCACUGAGCUGUGUGAGUCUCCGUCCUGGGCUCUGUGGGGACUAGGAUGAUAAUAAGAUGAGGAUCAGUGGCUUCCAGGAGCCCCAGUCUUAGAGGUGGAGCCAAAGAGCUGGGGGGGGG
rnacentral:lncRNA from 1 species